GAGAAAGUGGGGGCGGGAGUUAGCAUGCACAUGCAGGCACAGGCAGGAUCGGAAAUAGAGUGCGUACGCAGCCAAAGCCAACGGCAAAAAGAGAAUCCAAAAUCCAACGACAUGGCACACACGCGCGCAUUUACGUCCAGCUUUUACAAACAAUUAAGGGCACAAUUAGCUAAUUAUCCGAGUGUUUAGUGCACCAGUAUGCAAGUAACGUGUCGCGCGACUGUUUUGCUCAACCGUUCAUCAUCUACAAAGAUAAUUCUCACUGCUGCGGCUGGUGUAUGUACGACGUUAUGGAUGAGCUCAAUGACGCCAGACAAGACGGAAUAAAGGAUGAGACGGAUGAUUAGCAACCAGUGUGGAGCUGCCAAAGAGCAAGGCUGAUGGGCAUUCAGAAGAGUGUGCAGGCCUCCCGGAUGAAAAAGGUUGAAACAGAUGAAGAAGGAGGAGGUGGAGAAGAAGGAUCAGCGAGGAAGCAGCAGAAAGAGCUGAUGAAUGUUCCAGCCGCUGAGAAGGAUCAGCUCAUGCAGAGGAAGAUAACCAAGAAGAAAAGGGCCACGUGAGAAAAUUUGUUCAUCGACAGACUUGAAAAUUAUUUAGAAUAUUUCCCCAUUAAAGUCUAAUAUAACCAUAAGUUCAUAUUUUAUAUUUCAAGAGGGUUGGGCUGGGCACUACAAAUCUUUGUUUAAAAAACUGCACUGUUCCUGGCUGAGCCCCCACUUUGUGCCGAAUGCGUCUGCUGCUCGAGGCUAGCUCGAGCUCGUCGAAAAGCUCGGUACGCACUCAAGAAGGGGUUCCAA